GAAAGAGAAAAAAAUAGGUAUAUAAAAAAAAUACCAUAUCAGAAGCACCAACACAUGUCCUGACCACCUCUGAUAUGUAGCUCUAAGGCAUGUCUUCACUACCUUGGAAUAUGCACUUGAGCAGCACAUAUGCUGCCCAACUAAGGUAGGUAUGGGAUCCUAUAGAACCAGGCUAUGAGCAAAGCCAAGACCUGACCACCUUAGGUCUGUGAGGAUACCUAGUUAAAUGUAGAUGAAGGGGCCAGGGAGAUAGUUCAGUAGAAUAACCGCUUGCAGGCCUGAGUUCAAUAUCCCCAGUUCCGCAAAUAAAUAAAUAUAGAUGAAAAUCUCCCUAGAUGACAUGACUGUCCAGGAUAGGAGUGACACUCUGUAGGAUGUGAGUGGGGUCCCCCACAGGCGGACAAAUGUAGGCACGUGUGCAGCCCCAAAUGACAAGGUUGUGAGCUGCCCCUGGGGCCUCAGGUUGAUCAUCUGGGGCCUUAGUGGCCCCCAUGACAACAUUAAUGAGAAUGGAUCCCCGCACUGUCUCCAUUAAAGCAGGGAUUUGUCUGAGGCUUCUGCAGUGCCUGUAUGGCCAGAUCCCCACCCUGUCUCAGGAGUGUGGAAUCCUGCCAGAUGUGCAUGUCAGGUGAUCCCUUCAAAACAGAGCAUCAUGGGCCUGAACAGACUCCUGAAGGACAUGGAUGUGAACACCAUUACUGUACCUACGUCUAGUGUCAUGAUCCCUACACAGUGUGAUUGUCCCCUGAGAGCCCCUUGACCUUCCUACCUGGUUGUACAAGAUGCCCUUGAUAUUAUGUGAGCAGGACUGCCUGCAUCCCCUGGACCUGUCACCCUCCUGUGCUGUGUAAAGAACCUUGUACAUUGUGAAGUUGACCUCAAAACCCGCCAUUCCCCACCUGCUCAGACAUGUCGGCAGACUUGUGUUAUGUCACAGUCAAUUCAGCUACCUACCUCCACUGCAUGGAGUCUACCACAGGGUUGUGCGCAUGUACAUUCCUCCUGAUCAUCCCAGCAGUAUGUGUACCACUGCACACCACAGAUGGGAGCAGCACCCUCUCUCACACACAUCUUGAAGACCUCCAGCAGUGGGGGAGCCCUGGAGAAUGUGGAAGUUUGUAGAGACCCUCUUAUUUCCUGACCAGCACCAGUGUCUGUGCCCUAAACAAAGUCAACUAAAACAGAGCCCAGACAUGUCAUAUGCAUAGCCAUCAUUCAUGGAGCCACAAGACACAAACCAUUUCCAGACCAAAGCAAGCAUGUAGAAAACCUCUAGCACUUGGGUAUGACCAGCACCACCCAGCAUGAAGCUCUCCUCCACUGCUACAGAUAUGGAGCCACUCCAUAGCCUCAAGAUAUCGAUGCGGGCUGGAAACCUGUGCAUCUGGAAUGUCAACAGAGACACGUGUCCUGACAACUGUGGGCCUGUUUGGAGCCCUCUACAACCACAAUGUAUGUGGAGAGUGUCUUGCUCAGAUAACCACAUGCACAUGUAGAACCCUGGUCCAAGUAGACGUGAGCAGCCCAUCUAUCUGCUGACCCUCUCAGGGGUUUGGAGCCCUCUGUGACAAGAAGAAUGUGAGCCAAGCUUUUUACAUCUUCAACUUCUUGACUCCUGGCAGACAGAUAGGUUUUCAGCAAUAAUGGGAGAAGUGCUUCACUCUUUGGAGAAAAUUUGGUAAGUAGAUUCCUCAGCAGUGUGGUUGACAAUAGAACACGCCACAUCCCACCCACGAUCUUAACGUGUGUGGCCCUCUAGAAGGAAACAGUGAGUCAAGGCCCCAUGACCUGACCACAUCUCAUAUAGGUGGGCCUCUAAAAAACACAAAAGCACAGUCAUCCCACCAGUCCUGCCCCUGCCUGCAGCAUUGGUCCCAACAAAAUGUGUAUGUGAACAGGAAACCAGUCCCUUGUCCUGAUGGCCUCAGGCCUGUGUUGAACCUUUUACCAUGUGGCUGUAAACAGAGCUCCCCAUGGCCUGAACCCCAAGGGGUACAUGAAGCCCUAUACCCCAUGAUUGUAAGCAGAGCCCCCUACAUUCUACCCCUUGUCCUGACUAUCAGAGGCAUCCAUGGAGCCCGGCCCUCAGUUGUGGAAAUAGCCUCUUACACCGAGAGUAUGAGCAGAGUCUUUCACUGUCCUGACUAAUUCAGGCAUGUGAGGGACCCUGCAUGAUGUAACAAUGAGCAGAGCCUCCUCCAUGACCUGACAGUCUCAGGCAUUGGUAGAGCACUGGCCACCAUGAGUGGGGACCCAGCCCUUCCAUGCAGUGACAGUCUCAGGAAUAUGAGGUCUCGCUACAACAGGAAUGUAAGAGACACUCAUAUAUGCUGGACAUCUCCAUCAUGCAUGGAGCCCUAUGCAAGGUGCACAUGAAAGAAGCCUGCCAUUUACUAAGCCUCUUGGCAAGGGGCCAACCUCCCAUGGCACAAAGGUGAGCAGAGUCCUCUUAGAGUUGUGUUCUCGUACAUGCAGAGCCCUUUUCAUCAUGCACCAUGGACAGACCAACCCACUUGUUCAAGGUCUGAGUCCUGUGUGGAACCCUCCAGGCCACAGGCACAGUGGCCCUAGUGUCACACCGACCACCUGAGGCAUGUAUAGAGCCUUGUCCUACACUGUAUGUGGGCAGUGUCCUCUCCUUUCCAGUCACCCUCAGGUAUGGGGAGAGCUGGGCAAUCACCUCUCAAAGUAGAGAGCCUUAGACAAGGGAGAUGUGAAGACACUUUCCUUCCUGGGAUUGAGUCCUCUCCAAGGCCAGUGGAAGCAUGGGCCACUGUCUACAAACUCUGACCAUCUAUGGACAUCUCAAUCAUGUGAUGGCAAAAACACGCCACCACAUCCUCAUGACCUCAGGUGUUUCUGAGCUCUCUAUUAAUUGAUUUUGGAAACCAGCCCUCCCCAUGUCCCUACUCUAUCACACCUCUGUGUUGAGCUGUCUCCCACUUACAUGUGGCCAGAACAGCCCAGACCCACUCCAUGUAGGGAUGCUGCCAAAUAUCUACUCCAUAAAUAUGGACAGAGGCCUCCACAUAUGAUGUAACUGGACUUUUGAAGCCCAUAGGAAGCCUUGCAAUGGACCUGUGAGCCGGGCUACCUCCCAGGGCUUCUGACAAACUCAGGUAUUCGUGAACACCUGAGCAUGGAAACGAAGAGGUCCUCUGCAGGUCCUGCCAAGCAGGAUAUGUGUGGUCCCUCUGCAAUAGGAAAGCACAAGCAAGGCAGCUCCAUCUCUGUCACCUGUGCAGCACAGUCCCAGGUAGGAACCUAAUAGGGCAGGAGCCCCAUCUACUUCUGACCAUCUCAGAAGUAUGGAAACCCUCUAUGACAUGGUUGUGACCAGAGUCUGGGCCUGUGGUGAUUUUCACAUGUGUGUGUGUGUAGGUCUCUGCAAUGAAGAUAGAAACAGAGCUACCAAUGUCCUGAAUCCCUCAGGAAUGUAUAGAACCAUCUGUUAGGCCCAUGUGCGUAGCCUGGCGUCACAAAGAGGAUGUGGCCUGGGGUUUGAAGAAUGUGACCACUGAAGCCACCUGUAGAGACUCCUGAAACAACCAUGAGGUGAGGAAGGCUUCUCUGUACUGCCCUGCCCCACUUGCUUGGAGAAGUCCCAGUCUUCAGAGGAGCUUGAUCUUCACAGCGGCACCACUUCGGGGGAGCUACGAUCCUCGCCAUGGAAGGCCAGUAUUUGCAGUCACCACAGAAGGA